rnacentral:rRNA from 1 species
CGUCAUGGUGGGAACUCUAAGGAGACUGCCGGUGAUAAACCGGAGGAAGGUGGGGAUGACGUCAAGUCAUCAUGGCCCUUAUGGGCUGGGCUACACACGUGCUACAAUGGUCGGUACAGAGGGUUGCAAAGCGGCGACGUGGAGCUAAUCUCAGAAAACCGGUCGUAGUCCGGAUUGCAGUCUGCAACUCGACUGCAUGAAGUCG